GGGGAAUCUUCCGCAAUGGGCGAAAGCCUGACGGAGCAACGCCGCGUGAGUGAAGACGGCCUUCGGGUUGUAAAGCUCUGUUAUACGGGACGAAUAGUCUUGUGGUUAAUACCCAUGAGAAGUGACGGUACCGUAAGAGAAAGCCACGGCUAACUACGUGCCAGCAGCCGCGGUAAUACGUAGGUGGCAAGCGUUGUCCGGAAUUAUUGGGCGUAAAGGGCGCGCAGGCGGCUUCUUAAGUCUGUCUUAAAAGUGCGGGGCUUAACCCCGUGAUGGGAUGGAAACUGGGAAGCUCAGAGUAUCGGAGAGGAAAGCGGAAUUCCUAGUGUAGCGGUGAAAUGCGUAGAUAUUAGGAAGAACACCAGUGGCGAAGGCGACUUUCUGGACGAAAACUGACGCUGAGGCGCGAAAGCCAGGGGAGCGAACGGGAUUAGAUACCCCGGUAGUCCUGGCCGUAAACGAUGGGUACUAGGUGUAGGAGGUAUCGACCCCUUCUGUGCCGGAGUUAACGCAAUAAGUACCCCGCCUGGGGAGUACGACCGCAAGGUUG
rnacentral:rRNA from 1 species